rnacentral:rRNA from 1 species
CCUACGGGAGGCAGCAGUAAGGAAUAUUGGACAAUGCUCGCAAGAGUGAUCCAGCCAUGCCGCGUGCAGGAAGAAUGCCCUAUGGGUAGUAAACUGCUUUUGAACUAGAGAAAACCCCAGUACGUGUACUGGGCUGAUAGUAUAGUUAGAAUAAGCAUCGGCUAACUUCGUGCCAGCAGCCGCGGUAAGACGAAGGAUGCAAGCGUUAUCCGGAUUCAUUGGGUUUAAAGGGAGCGUAGGUGGACUGAUAAGUCAGUGGUGAAAUCUCCGAGCUUAACUCGGAAAUUGCCAUUGAUACUGUUGGUCUUGAGUACAGUUGCUGUGGGCGGAAUAUGACAUGUAGUGGUGAAAUACAUAGAGAUGUCAUAGAACACCGAUUGCGAAGGCAGCUCACAAAGCUGUAACUGACACUGAGGCUCGAAAGUGCGGGGAUCAAACAGGAUUAGAUACCCUGGUAGUCCGCACCGUAAACGAUGAUUACUCGCUGCUAGGGGGCAACCUUUAGUGGCUUAGCGAAAGCGAUAGUAAUCCACCUGGGGAGGACGCCGGCGACGAGAACGACAANAGAGUAGACGGCGNGAGGAGNGCGACGGACGACGACGAGGGGAGGUAGG